rnacentral:rRNA from 1 species
CGGGGUGAGGAACACAUCGGAAUCUACCCUGUCGUGGGGGACAACGUAGGGAAACUUACGCUAAUACCGCAUACGACCUUUGGGUGAAAGCGGGGGACCAGCAAUGGCCUCGCGCGAUUGGAUGAGCCGAUGUCCGAUUAGCUAGUUGGCGGGGUAAUGGCCCACCAAGGCGACGAUCGGUAGCUGGUCUGAGAGGACGACCAGCCACACUGGAACUGAGACACGGUCCAG